AUUGAACGCUGGCGGCCGGCCUAACACAUGCAAGUCGCACGAGUGGCGGACGGGUGCGUACUGUCUGGGAAACUGCCUGAUGGCGGGGGAUAACUACUGGAAACGGUAGCUAAUCCCGCAUACCCUCGGAUGUGCCCAGAUGGGAUUAGCUAGUAGGUGGGGUAACGGCGCACCUAGGCGACGAUCCCUAGCUGGUCUGAGAGGAUGACCAGCCACACUGGAACUGAGACACGGUCGAGAAUACGACGGGAGGCAGCAGUGGGGAAUAUUGCAAAAUGGGCGCAAGCCUGAGGCAGCCAUGCCGCGUGUAUGAAGAAGGCCUGCGGGUUGUAAAGUACUUUCAGCGGGGAGGCGUGACCCGCAGAAGAAGCACCGGCUAACUCCGGGCCAGCAGCCGCGGUAAUUC
rnacentral:rRNA from 1 species